rnacentral:rRNA from 1 species
GGACCCGCACAAGCAGUGGAGCAUGUGGUUUAAUUCGAAGAUACGCGCAGAACCUUACCAACACUUGACAUGUUCGUCGCGAGCCUAAGAGAUUAGGCUUUUCAGUUUGGCUGGACGAAACACAGGUGCUGCAUGGCUGUCGUCAGCUCGUGUCGUGAGAUGUUGGGUUAAGUCCCGCAACGAGCGCAACCCCCUACUUUUAGUUGCCACCAUUUAGUUGGGCACUUUAAAAGAACUGCCAGUGAUAAGCUGGAGGAAGGUGGGGAUGACGUCAAGUCCUCAUGGCCCUUAUGUGUUGGGCUACACACGUGCUACAAUGGCACUUACAAUGGGAAGCAAAGAGGCGACUCUAAGCUAAUCCCAAAAAUGUGUCUCAGUUCGGAUUGUACUCUGUAACUCGAGUGCAUGAAGCUGGAAUUGCUAGUAAUCGC